GCCUUGGUGGCACAAAGGUUAAGCACUUGGCUGUUAACCAAAAAGUUGGCACUUCAAACCUGCCCAGUGGCU
rnacentral:tRNA from 1 species